CUGGUCUAAAAGCUACAUCUUAUCACCACAAACCUUGAAUGUACGGAGAUCCUUAGAGGAUUAAGUUCAACCGGUCUAUAGAUAAAAGGCAGAAUGUAUCCUGAUAUGAAGAGAUUCUACAUGGUGCUUGCAAUGAUUAUAGUAUGUUCACGCGUGCUUGUUGCAUUUGGCCUGAGUUUGUGAGUUUCAUAAAUUUUUUCAAAUAAAAUUUUUAUAAUCGAACAGACGAUAAGAGAAAUUAUAGUUGAACCGUCAUCAUCUACUAUAUGCAUAUAUUGAGACAUCCAUAAAAAAAGAAAUGAUUACAUGAUUAUUCAAAUACCCCGAAGAUUUAUUCAUUCUUCUUUUCUUAUGCAUGAACGGCCAUUUAUCUUUACGUGGCAAACAAUGACGAUCCAAUCAUAAAUUCAUGACCGGUC
rnacentral:lncRNA from 1 species